rnacentral:rRNA from 1 species
AAGAUUUUCGGAUCCCUAAAACCAGUUGGUAGAGUAGGACAAGGAGGUGGAUUGACUGGUCAUCCAUUGACGGUAUUUACCCAGAAAGCCACGGCUAAGUACGUGCCAGCAGCCGCGGUAAUACGUAGGCGGCAAGCGUUGUCCGGAUUUAUUGGGCGUAAAGCGAGCGCAGGCGGUUUUCUAAGUCUGAUGUGAAAGCCCCCGGCUCAACUGUGGAGGGUCAGUGGAAAGUGGGAAACUUGAGUUCAGAAGAGGAGAGUGGAAUUCCAUGUGUAGCGGUGAAAUGCGUAGAUAUAUGGAGGAACACCAGUGGCGAAGGCGGCUUUCUGGUCUGUAACUGACGCUGAGGCUCGAAAGCAUGGGGAGCAAACAGGAUUAGAUACCCUGGUAGUCCACGCCGUAAACGAUGAGUACUAAGUGUUGGAGGGUUUCCGCCCUUCAGUGCUGCAGCAAACGCAUUAACCAUCCGCCUGGG